AUGCAUUCUGGAAAUCUGUGGCACUGUGAUAUUUUUGUAUCACUGUGGUACACGUUCGGUGGAGGAACCAGACUGGAUGUUGGAUGUGAUGUGCGCCCCACCCUGACGGUGCUGCCCCCCUCCAGAGAAGACCUGGAGCAGGGGAAGGCCACGCUCAUGUGCCUGGCCAACAAGGGCUUCCCCUCAGACUGGAGUCUGGCCUGGAAGGUGGACGGCAGCAGCCGCGGCAGCAGCAGCAGCUGGGAGGAGAGCAGGAGCCCCGGGGUGCUGGGGAAGGACGGCCACUACAGCUGGAGCAGCACCCUGAGGCUCCCUGCAGACCAGUGGAGGAAGGUGGGCUCUGUGACCUGUGAGGCCACCCAGGGCUCCCAGACUCCCCUCUCAGAGACACUGAGGAGAGACCAGUGUUCCCAGUCCUGAGCUGACUCACUGGCAGGGACUCUGCUACUGGUUUUACUCUGACACUGCUCUCACUCUGCUCUCUGCAGCUAGCUCUGGCUUUUAUUUCACCUGUUUCAAUAGAAAGAUUUAACAGCUUGUUGCAAUGUUUCAAUAUUAUUUCAGUGUUUCCAGAUAAUAAAGACGUUUCAUCAAAUUAA